rnacentral:rRNA from 12 species
AGAGUUUGAUCAUGGCUCAGAUUGAACGCUGGCGGCAGGCCUAACACAUGCAAGUCGAACGGUAACAGGAAACAGCUUGCUGUUUCGCUGACGAGUGGCGGACGGGUGAGUAAUGUCUGGGAAACUGCCUGAUGGAGGGGGAUAACUACUGGAAACGGUAGCUAAUACCGCAUAACGUCGCAAGACCAAAGAGGGGGACCUUCGGGCCUCUUGCCAUCGGAUGUGCCCAGAUGGGAUUAGCUUGUUGGUGGGGUAACGGCUCACCAAGGCGACGAUCCCUAGCUGGUCUGAGAGGAUGACCAGCCACACUGGAACUGAGACACGGUCCAGACUCCUACGGGAGGCAGCAGUGGGGAAUAUUGCACAAUGGGCGCAAGCCUGAUGCAGCCAUGCCGCGUGUAUGAAGAAGGCCUUCGGGUUGUAAAGUACUUUCAGCGGGGAGGAAGGGAGUAAAGUUAAUACCUUUGCUCAUUGACGUUACCCGCAGAAGAAGCACCGGCUAACUCCGUGCCAGCAGCCGCGGUAAUACGGAGGGUGCAAGCGUUAAUCGGAAUUACUGGGCGUAAAGCGCACGCAGGCGGUUUGUUAAGUCAGAUGUGAAAUCCCCGGGCUCAACCUGGGAACUGCAUCUGAUACUGGCAAGCUUGAGUCUCGUAGAGGGGGGUAGAAUUCCAGGUGUAGCGGUGAAAUGCGUAGAGAUCUGGAGGAAUACCGGUGGCGAAGGCGGCCCCCUGGACGAAGACUGACGCUCAGGUGCGAAAGCGUGGGGAGCAAACAGGAUUAGAUACCCUGGUAGUCCACGCCGUAAACGAUGUCGACUUGGAGGUUGUGCCCUUGAGGCGUGGCUUCCGGAGCUAACGCGUUAAGUCGACCGCCUGGGGAGUACGGCCGCAAGGUUAAAACUCAAAUGAAUUGACGGGGGCCCGCACAAGCGGUGGAGCAUGUGGUUUAAUUCGAUGCAACGCGAAGAACCUUACCUGGUCUUGACAUCCACAGAACUUUCCAGAGAUGGAUUGGUGCCUUCGGGAACUGUGAGACAGGUGCUGCAUGGCUGUCGUCAGCUCGUGUUGUGAAAUGUUGGGUUAAGUCCCGCAACGAGCGCAACCCUUAUCCUUUGUUGCCAGCGGUCCGGCCGGGAACUCAAAGGAGACUGCCAGUGAUAAACUGGAGGAAGGUGGGGAUGACGUCAAGUCAUCAUGGCCCUUACGACCAGGGCUACACACGUGCUACAAUGGCGCAUACAAAGAGAAGCGACCUCGCGAGAGCAAGCGGACCUCAUAAAGUGCGUCGUAGUCCGGAUUGGAGUCUGCAACUCGACUCCAUGAAGUCGGAAUCGCUAGUAAUCGUGGAUCAGAAUGCCACGGUGAAUACGUUCCCGGGCCUUGUACACACCGCCCGUCACACCAUGGGAGUGGGUUGCAAAAGAAGUAGGUAGCUUAACCUUCGGGAGGGCGCUUACCACUUUGUGAUUCAUGACUGGGGUGAAGUCGUAACAAGGUAACCGUAGGGGAACCUGCGGUUGGAUCACCU